rnacentral:misc_RNA from 1 species
GAUGAAGAACGUAGCAAAAUGCGAUACUUGGUGUGAAUUGCAGAAUCCCGUGAACCAUCGAGUUUUUGAACGCAAGUUGCGCCCGAAGCCUUUUGGCCGAGGGCACGUCUGCCUGGGCGUCACGCAUCGCGUCGCCCCCCACAACUCUCCGUAAAGGGAACUUGUGUUUUGGGGGCGGAUAUUGGUCUCCCGUGCUCAUGGCGUGGUUGGCCGAAAUAGGAGUCCCUCCGGUGGACGCACGAACUAGUGGUGGUCGUAAAAACCCUCGUCUUUUGUUUCGUGCCGUUAGUCGCGAGGGAAACUCUUUAAACACCCAAAUGUGUCGUCUCUUGACGGCGCUUCGACCGCGACCCCAGGUCAGGCGGGACUACCCGCUGAGUUUAAGCAUAUCAAUAAGCGGAGGA